rnacentral:lncRNA from 1 species
GUUUCGCCUGCAGCCUCAGCACCUGACCUGGGUCCGGCGCAGCGAGGUGGGACGGCAGUGCGCUCUGGAAUGUGCCAGCGCGGUCCCCGGGGUACGCCUCGCGGGAGGCCGGCGCUCUCGGUUCCAGAUGCUGCCACCAUUCUCGGGGAAGUUGGGAGUAGGGCCCCCUCUGGGAUGGUGUAAACUUAUUCAGCUUCAAAUGCAGCCCAGUAUCCUGCCCUAAGUUCCAGAGGACCAUUUUCCACAUGAAAAGUCUUACGGAUAGACAAACUUCCAUUCAAGCCAAUGUCAAGUUUUCAUUGCAAGAAAGUAGCAGCCGUGUUUAAGGGCUUGUUUCUGGCUAUGUUAAAGGACCAUCCUCUGAGGAAAGCAGAGGAGAGGAACUCCAUUAUCCUUACAGUGAAACGCAACCACUGCAGAAAAACUCCACUGAGUUCGCUCCAAAUGCUCAUCUUCUUCUUCGGCCCUGGAUGUCAGACAAACAGGACAAACAGGAAACAAAAUUAUUUUUCUUCGUGGAGGGCAGAGCAGCACUCCCCCGUCGCCCAGUAUUUGGAUCCCCAGC